AGUGAACGCUGGCGGUAGGCCUAACACAUGCAAGUCGAACGGCAGCACAGUAAGAGCUUGCUCUUACGGGUGGCGAGUGGCGGACGGGUGAGGAAUACAUCGGAAUCUACUUUUUCGUGGGGGAUAACGUAGGGAAACUUACGCUAAUACCGCAUACGACCUACGGGUGAAAGCAGGGGAUCUUCGGACCUUGCGCGAUUGAAUGAGCCGAUGUCGGAUUAGCUAGUUGGCGGGGUAAAGGCCCACCAAGGCGACGAUCCGUAGCUGGUCUGAGAGGAUGAUCAGCCACACUGGAACUGAGACACGGUCCAGACUCCUACGGGAGGCAGCAGUGGGGAAUAUUGGACAAAGGGCGCAAGCCUGAUCCAGCCAUACCGCGUGGGUGAAGAAGGCCUUCGGGUUGUAAAGCCCUUUUGUUGGGAAAGAAAGGCAGCAGGUUAAUACCCCGCUGUUCUGACGGUACCAAAAGAAUAAGCACCGGCUAACUUCGUG
rnacentral:rRNA from 1 species